rnacentral:rRNA from 1 species
UACGAAGGGUGCAAGCGUUGUUCGGAAUCACUGGGCGUAAAGCGCACGUAGGUGGGUUCAAAAGUCGUAUGUGAAAUCCCUGGGCUUAACCCGGGAACUGCAUUCGAAACUCUGAAUCUUGAAUGCUUGAGAGGAUGGUGGAAUUCCAGGUGUAGAAGUGAAAUUCGUAGAUAUCUGGAGGAACAUCCGAGGCGAAGGCGGCCAUCUGGCAAGACAUUGACACUGAGGUGCGAAAGCGUGGGGAGCAAACAGG